GGAUGUGAGGGCGAUCUGGCUGCGACAUCUGUCACCCCAUUGAUCGCCAGGGUUGAUUCGGCUGAUCUGGCUGGCUAGGCGGGUGUCCCCUUCCUCCCUCACUGCUCCAUGUGCAUCCCCUCCCGAAGCUGCGCGCUCGGUCGAAGAGGACGACCAUCCCCGAUAGAGGAGGACCGUUCUUCGGUCAAGGGUAUACGAGUAGCUGCGCUCCCCUGCUAGAACCUCCAAACAAGCUCUCAACCCCAAUGCUUCAUAAUUAGUCAGCUAUUUAAUAAUCCGUCUAUUGGCCUUGAGAAUCACAGUAUCUAAAAAUAUUCCCAAAUAUCUUU
rnacentral:snRNA from 1 species